GUUAGCCUACGGGGCGCAGCAGUAGGGAAUCUUCCACAAUGGACGAAAGUCUGAUGGAGCAACGCCGCGUGAGUGAAGAAGGGUUUCGGCUCGUAAAGCUCUGUUGGUAGUGAAGAAAGAUAGAGGUAGUAACUGGCCCUUAUUUGACGGUAAUUACUUAGAAAGUCACGGCUAACUACGUGCCAGCAGCCGCGGGAAUACGUAGGUGGCAAGCGUUGUCCGGAUUUAUUGGGCGUAAAGCGAGUGCCGGCGGGUCAAUCAGGCU
rnacentral:rRNA from 1 species